rnacentral:rRNA from 1 species
GAUGAACGCUGGCGGCGUGCCUAAUACAUGCAAGUCGAGCGAACAGACGAUGAUCUUGCUCCUCUGACGUUAGCGGCUGACGGGUGAGUAACACGUGUAUAACCUACCUAUAAUACUGGGAUAACUUCGUGAAACCGGAUCUAAUACCGGAUAAUAUAUUUAACCGCAUGGUUCAAUAGUGAAAGACGGUUUUGCUGUCACUUAUAGAUGGAUCCGCGCCGCAUUAGCUAGUUGGUAAGGUAACGGCUUACCAAGGCAACGAUGCGUAGCCGACCUGAGAGGGUGAUCGGACACACUGGAACGGAGACACGGACCAGACUACUACGGGAGGCAGCAGUAGGGAAUAUUACGAAAUGGGCGAAAGCAUGACGGAGAAAAGCCGAGUGAGAGAUGAAGGUCUUCGGAUCGUAAAACUCUGUUAUUAGGGAAGAAAAAAUGUGUAAGGAAAUAUGCACGUAUUGACGGUAACUAAUAAGAAAGCAACGGCUAACUACGUG